CACGUGAAAUCCCGUCGGAAUCUGGGAGGACCAUCUCCCAACCCUAAAUACUCCCUAGUGACCGAUAGUGAACCAGUACCGUGAGGGAAAGGUGAAAAGCACCCCGGGAGGGGAGUGAAAUAGAACCUGAAACCGUGUGCCUACAACAAGUUCGAGCCCGUUAAUGGGUGAGAGCGUGCCUUUUGUAGAAUGAACCGGCGAGUUACGUUAUGAUGCGAGGUUAAGUUGAAGAGACGGAGCCGUAGGGAAACCGAGUCUGAAUAGGGCGCCUUAGUAUCAUGACGUAGACCCGAAACCAUGUGACCUACCCAUGAGCAGGUUGAAGGUGCGGUAAGACGCACUGGAGGACCGAACCAGGGCACGUUGAAAAGUGCUUGGAUGACUUGUGGGUAGCGGAGAAAUUCCAAACGAACUUGGAGAUAGCUGGUUCUCUCCGAAAUAGCUUUAGGGCUAGCGUCGACAUUAGAGAUUCUUGGAGGUAGAGCACUGUUUGGGUGAGGGGUCCAUCCCGGAUUACCAAUCUCAGAUAAACUCCGAAUGCCAAUGAAUUAUGGUCGGCAGUCAGACUGCGAGUGCUAAGAUCCGUAGUCGAAAGGGAAACAGCCCAGACCACCAGCUAAGGUCCCAAAAUAAUUGUUAAGUGGAAAAGGAUGUGGGGUUGCACAGACAACUAGGAUGUUAGCUUAGAAGCAGCUAUUCAUUCAAAGAGUGCGUAAUAGCUCACUAGUCGAGUGACCCUGCGCCGAAAAUGUACCGGGGCUAAAACAAUUUACCGAAGCUGUGGAUACCUUUAUAGGUAUGGUAGGAGAGCGUUCUAUGUGUGAUGAAGGUAUACCGUGAGGAGUGCUGGAACGCAUAGAAGUGAGAAUGCCGGUAUGAGUAGCGAAAGACAGGUGAGAAUCCUGUCCACCGUAAGACUAAGGUUUCCAGGGGAAGGCUCGUCCGCCCUGGGUUAGUCGGGACCUAAGGAGAGACCGAAAGGUGUAUCCGAUGGACAACAGGUUGAUAUUCCUGUACUAGAGUAUGUAGUGAUGGAGGGACGCAGUAGGCUAACUAAAGCAGACGAUUGGAAGAGUCUGUCUAAGCAGUGAGGUGUGAAUUGAGUCAAAUGCUUAAUUCUAUAACAUUGAGCUGUGAUGGGGAGCGAAGUUUAGUAGCGAAGUUAGUGACGUCACACUGCCAAGAAAAGCUUCUAGCGUUUAAACAUACUCUACCCGUACCGCAAACCGACACAGGUAGUCGAGGCGAGUAGCCUCAGGUGAGCGAGAGAACUCUCGUUAAGGAACUCGGCAAAAUGACCCCGUAACUUCGGGAGAAGGGGUGCUGACUUAAAGUCAGCCGCAGUGAAUAGGCCCAAGCAACUGUUUAUCAAAAACACAGCUCUCUGCUAAAUCGUAAGAUGAUGUAUAGGGGGUGACGCCUGCCCGGUGCUGGAAGGUUAAGAGGAGUGCUUAGCGUAAGCGAAGGUAUGAAUUGAAGCCCCAGUAAACGGCGGCCGUAACUAUAACGGUCCUAAGGUAGCGAAAUUCCUUGUCGGGUAAGUUCCGACCCGCACGAAAGGCGUAAUGAUUUGGGCACUGUCUCAACGAGAGACUCGGUGAAAUUUUAGUACCUGUGAAGAUGCAGGUUACCCGCGACAGGACGGAAAGACCCCAUGGAGCUUUACUGCAGUUUGAUAUUGAGUGUCUGUACCACAUGUACAGGAUAGGUAGGAGUCUAAGAGAUCGGGACGCCAGUUUCGAAGGAGACGCUGUUGGGAUACUACCCUUGUGUUAUGGCCACUCUAACCCAGAUAGGUGAUCCCUAUCGGAGACAGUGUCUGACGGGCAGUUUGACUGGGGCGGUCGCCUCCUAAAAGGUAACGGAGGCGCCCAAAGGUUCCCUCAGAAUGGUUGGAAAUCAUUCGCAGAGUGUAAAGGUAUAAGGGAGCUUGACUGCGAGAGCUACAACUCGAGCAGGGACGAAAGUCGGGCUUAGUGAUCCGGUGGUUCCGUAUGGAAGGGCCAUCGCUCAACGGAUAAAAGCUACCCUGGGGAUAACAGGCUUAUCUCCCCCAAGAGUUCACAUCGACGGGGAGGUUUGGCACCUCGAUGUCGGCUCGUCGCAUCCUGGGGCUGUAGUCGGUCCCAAGGGUUGGGCUGUUCGCCCAUUAAAGCGGCACGCGAGCUGGGUUCAGAACGUCGUGAGACAGUUCGGUCCCUAUCCGUCGCGGGCGUAGGAAAUUUGAGAGGAUCUGCUCCUAGUACGAGAGGACCAGAGUGGACUUACCGCUGGUGUACCAGUUGUCUUGCCAAAGGCAUCGCUGGGUAGCUAUGUAGGGAAGGGAUAAACGCUGAAAGCAUCUAAGUGUGAAACCCACCUCAAGAUGAGAUUUCCCAUGAUUAUAUAUCAGUAAGAGCCCUGAGAGAUGAUCAGGUAGAUAGGUUAGAAGUGGAAGUGUGGCGACACAUGUAGCGGACUAAUACUAAUAGCUCGAGGACUUAUCCAA
rnacentral:rRNA from 1 species